UCUGACUUAGCAUAUUAUUAAUGCAAAAGAUUGUAAAUCUUUGUAAGACAAAUUCGUCAGUUAGGU
rnacentral:tRNA from 1 species